CAGCCGCCGCGGGAAUACGUAGGGUGCGAGCGUUAAUCGGAAUUACUGGGCGUAAAGCGUGCGCAGGCGGUUUUGUAAGACAGGCGUGAAAUCCCCGGGCUCAACCUGGGAAUGGCGCUUGUGACUGCAAAGCUAGAGUGCGGCAGAGGGGGAUGGAAUUCCGCGUGUAGCAGUGAAAUGCGUAGAUAUGCGGAGGAACACCGAUGGCGAAGGCAAUCCCCUGGGCCUGCACUGACGCUCAUGCACGAAAGCGUGGGGAGCAAACAGGAUUAGAUACCCGUGUAGUCCCUGUCUCUUAUAC
rnacentral:rRNA from 1 species